UCCCUGCUCUAGGUCGCGGCGGGACAGUGCCAGUGGGCGUGUGGGGUGGGGCGGGGCAGGGCAGGGAAGGGAAGGGCGGAGCUGGGGUGAGGGUCCAAGGGGCCCAGGACUUGGCCGGCGUGAUCUCAGCUCUGCAGACCCUGCGGUGCUGGGAGCCACCAUGGAGAGUAGGUGCUACGGCUGCGCUGUCAAGUUCACCCUCUUCAAGAAGGAGCUGGUCAUAACUUCAGUGACUUCUCUGUGUGUGCUUGGAGAGUCCCGGGGAGCAGCCUGCAGGGGCGGGUGAGAGGGGGAUCUCCCGCUUCAUGUUUCUUGUAGUACGGCUGUAAGAAUUGUGGCAGGGCCUUCUGUUCAGGCUGCCUAAGCUUCAGUGCAGCAGUGCCUC
rnacentral:sRNA from 1 species